ensembl:lncRNA ITFG1-AS1 ITFG1 antisense RNA 1
CGGCCUGCCGGGUCUCCGCCAGCCCUAGCAGACAGAGAGGGGCGCCGGUCCCUAGUCCCCCAGACCUCCAUUCAAGGUCAAAACUUUGCCCAGCUCAGCCUUGCUCGACCCUGGGCAGGGAAGCGCGGACAUCGGCAGAGGGAGCCCGAGGCUCUCCGUGCCCUUCGCGCCGGUCAAGAACUGUGGAAUCUUUCAGAUGAUAUUCUGAUACUUCUGGACCAAGAUUGAAUUUGUUCUUCAUGAAAAAUGUCUGGGACCUUUUAUAUGGACGGGGAAUACCAACGUAGAGAUGGUCAAGAAAAUUUGCGCUCCGACCUAAACCAAGCACGUUGUAUGGUAGUUGGAGAGCUAAAUGUGCGGAUUGGCUGAGUUGGCCAGCUAGAGUUAUUCAAUUAAAAAAAAAUUAAAAACAUCUCUGGAAACAUUGCUCCCAUCAAAUAUUAAAAUGAUAAAAUGUUAAAAA